UACGGGGGGGGCAAGCGUUGUUCGGAAUUACUGGGCGUAAAGGGCUCGUAGGCGGCCAACUAAGUCCGACGUGAAAUCCCCAGGCUUAACCUGGGAACUGCGUCGGAUACUGGAUGGCUUGAAUUCGGGAGAGGGAUGCAGAAUUCCAGGUGUAGCGGUGAAAUGCGUAGAUAUCCGGAAGAACACCGGUGGCGAAGGCGAUUAGCUGGGCAGUUGCUGACACUGAGGCGCGACAGCGUGGGGAGCAAACAGG
rnacentral:rRNA from 1 species